rnacentral:tRNA from 1 species
GGGGAUUUAGCUCAGUGGUAGAGCGCUUGCCUAGCAAGUGCAAGACCCUUGGUUCAGUCCCCA